AUCAAGGAUAACCUAAGAUGGCGGCCAUUACCGGCGUUAUGUCGGUGUCAUCGGGUUGUGGGUUCGUCGCUUCUUUCUCCCACAAAUGCAAAGUAUUUCUACCCAAUUCUUACUCGCUGUCUAGGAAAUAUUGCAACCCGACGAGCCACAAUGAGAAACAUUAUGACAUUGUCAUUACUGGCGGUGGAAUGGUGGGGACAACAUUGGCCUGUGCGCUAGCCAAUAACCGAAUAUUGGAAAAUAAACGUAUACUUCUACUCGAGGGUGGCCAAAGGCAGGAUUACCAAGUGCAGGAUAAAUAUUCCAAUCGAGUUGUUGCCUUAAAUCAGCAGACUCGCACUCUCUUGUCAAGUAUAGGAGCAUGGAAACGUAUAGAAGCAGUUCGCUAUACACCCGUAAAGAAAAUGCAGGUGUGGGAUGCUUGUUCCGAUGCUAUGAUCACAUUCAACGAGGAUCAUUUGGCAGACGGGUUGGCUUACAUAGUGGAAAAUGAUCUGCUGCUUCACGCCGUCAGCCAGCAACUCUCGAAUAAGGAUUCCGUGGAUCUAGUCUACGGUGCCAAGGUGGAUGAUGUUUCACUACCAACAACGCCGGGUCAAAAUGCUACGAUAACUUUGCAAGAUGGUAAACGAUUCGGAACAAAGUUGUUGAUUGGUGCAGAUGGGGUUAAUUCUUUGGUUCGCAAGACAAUGGGAGUACAGUAUGUGGCGUGGAACUACGAGCAGAUGGGAAUUGUUGCUACUGUCAAAUUGUCCGAGCCUACAGAAAACAUCGUAGCAUGGCAAAGAUUCUUACCAAGUGGCCCUGUUGCAUUAUUACCGUUGACGGAUACACUGAGUUCCUUGGUGUGGUCUGUGUCGACGGCAGAAGCGAAAAAGCUCCUGAGUUUAUCCGAAGAGGAGUUUGUCGAUUCGUUGAACGACGCCUUCUGGAAAAUACACCCAAAAGACGGUAUGGUCGAAGCUGGCAUGAGGGCUCUGGGACAACUUCUGGAAGGGCUUUCCUUGCACAGCGGAUUUACCAGGCAGCUACAACCUUCGAUUCGUGGAAUCGUCGAGGGGACCAGGGCCGCAUUUCCACUUGGAUUCGGUCACGCGGCUUCUUACGUAAAACCGGGCGUUGCACUUGUUGGUGACGCUGCUCAUCGCGUUCAUCCCCUCGCCGGUCAGGGUGUAAAUCUAGGGUUCGGGGAUGUCGCCGCGCUCGUUCAAGUACUCGCCGAUGCCAGUCGAAACGGCGCCGUUCUCGGAGAUGUCGCGUACUUGGCCAAAUACGAAACAUCGAGGCAGCGGCAUAACGUUCCAACUAUGUUGGCAAUCGACGCGCUACAUAGAUUAUACAAAGGGACCGCCGCACCGAUCGUAUUAGCAAGAAGCUUAGGACUUCAGCUAACAAAUGCGUUCCCCCCAUUGAAGGGACGAAGCGCGGGUGCAGAAAGAGCUCGGUUGAAUAAAAUCGAGGUAAAUACUUGGGACUAGUUCGGGCGAACUGGGCGUAGUAGCACGGCGUUCGAUCAGGCGUCGGUAGCGAGGUCUGGCGACACCCACCAGGGGUAUAUAAACUCCCACCAUCCGUCUCCCGGGCACAUUCCAUCGUCGGACGUCGCAGGGGCUGUAUCGAGUGGUGUUGCCAGUGGCAGGGUGGACCGAACAAAUCAAGAACAAAGAUAUCGCAUACUUGACAUCCUACGAACGAAGCACAGGCGUGUUGCAUCGCGUACGAGAGAAGCCUCACCGGCGACUCGAAGCUUGAUACAGUCUCUACGUUUGAGAUGACAAUGGAAUGGAGGGCUGAGGUGGCUGGUUCUGAUGACAUUGGGAGGCUAGGGGGACUGAUGACUGGAAGCUCUGCGAAGGCUCUCUGCCAAUCAGCGGUUUGGUUUGUAGACCGUAUCGAAACCAAAGUCUUUUUUGCAAUAAAAAGUAUAGAUUCUUCUUAGCGGGCGUCCAUUCAUUACGUGUGGUUACUUAGGCGAUCCCUCCCCCAAUCUCACGCGAGAUUUUUCAAAAUGCGUAUUUUUAGUGUAAAUACGUUAACCUGUGCUUGACCGCGUUGAAUUUGUUUAAAAAAAACAUAAUUUGCUCAAUUAUUUUUAUUUAAGUCUAGUUAACACUAAUGUUUUCAGGCAGAAAGUAGUCUAGAAUCACAGUCGAGAAAAUUGCAAUAAAAUACUUGAAUAGGAACUGUUAAAAUUUGUAAAAGAAUAUUCAUUGUAAUUCAGUCCGCGGUGACUCGUGUGAAAAAACGUUACGUGAUAUUUGCCGAGACCCCCACUCUCCUCCGCGUGAAACUGGGCUAGACCCCUCCCCCCAACAACUCGCGGAAUUAAUGGACGCCCCCUUAUCUCGCACAUGUCUACUCAUGUGUUGAGAAUUAGCAAUAGAUGCGAAAAAGUAGUAUAUUGAUCAUUAAAUUCAUAGAUUAUUUUCAGAUCUAUUGUAGAGUCAAAGAACACACUUCACAUGUACCACAGACAUAAUUUUUUAUAAUUCUUAAGACCAACGUAAUCGUAACUCGUUAAUUAAAAGGAGAAAAAAAAAUUGUUGUACGCCAGUCUUAUAAAAUAUGUUUUUAAAGGAAAACUAUUGUAAACAUAUAUAAUUUAAUUCAUAUUGAAUUUUCUUUUUGUUGUGUAUAAUUCUGUUUUAUAGAUGGAGACCAAAGACUCGAUAAGAGAAUAUUUUUACAAAAAUAAAGAUGUUACAUAUUUAACAAGCAACAUUUUUUUCUAGUAUCACGAUAAUUUUAUUUCUUGUACUAUUAAUUCCAUAAAUCCUUUUCAGUACGGCAGUAAACCCAUAGAAAAUUGCGUUCCGAGCCAAAACUUGGUACAAAGGUCACCCCGGGGCUGUGAAUGUGUCUGGUUGCACUUCCACCGAAUCAAGCGCACGCCGCCGGGCGUUUUUUAAAAAACGAAAGGGAUAUUCUGUGUUUCUAGACAGCCAUGAGGCAGACUGGCUGAAAUGACACCUCAAAACUCUACACCCCUGAUUCGCAAGCGAGUACGCAUCGCAUAAUAAAUCAUCCCUCGUUUCGCCGCUGAUCCGAGAACAAGCCAGAAAACUAGGGGGAAUACCGGCGGUGAGCUGUUCCUAUGUAACACCCCCACCUCCCCCAGGAAAUAUGGUAUUUUCUCAGGUCUGACGAACGGCACGGGCAAGCUGAAGUUAAAUAGGUCUUUUACAUGCCAGACUUACGGGUUCAUCCCACCUAACGUCGCAUGCUGAUCGAUCAUCCCUCAUCACCGAUUGCACGAAACUCAGUCGAACCGCAGUUAUUCAGGAACGCACCAGUUUCAAUAUCAUUCUAGGAUAAAGAAAGUGCCAGGUAUGGGAGUGUAUACCAGAAAUAAGUGUAUCUCCUAUAUUAAUCGAGUCGUGUCUGUAAAGAUUGUCGAUUGGCAAGGUAUCGUCUUUUGUAGAUUUUUUAGCAAAUGCACAAUAUUAUGUAAUCAAGUUGAAAAGUAUGGCAAAUGCAAUGAUACACGGAGUAGCCUAGAUAUGAGCCCUGCUUGGGCGACAAAUAACCAUGUUUUCACAGAUUCGAACCAAAGAAGCGCGAGUUGAUUCCACCUGGAUGAAUAAGAUUGCGCAAAUGGAACAAUAAUAUGUUGCAGUUAUGUUGGGGAAAGAAUGGUGUGAGUGUUUUAGAUUGCUGAAUAAUGGAGACUAUACAUGAUGUCGCAAAUAUGGCCAUCAAGAGGGAAAAAGGAAAAUUAUACAGAGGUACCAGUUAUUUAGACAGCGUUUCUUGCGAUUUUCAUUGCCCUAGCCAAUAUGGACAAAUAUCAAAUUUUUCGUGCAUCAAGUGAAUGAUAUAAGAAAAUGUGAUGGGUGAUCAUUUUGGAGACAAUGUUCUUGGAUAUCUGACUGACUGGCACAGUAACCAAUAUCGUUGUUCUUGUUGUUCUUGUUGUUGUUGUUGUUUUAAGCUAUAGGAAUCCCAGCAGAAAUUAAGCGAGCAAGUCUGCAAAUUUUAUUGCUACCUACUAGCGUCGACAGAGGAUGCGAGGGGAAUCUCCACCCUGCUUCCACCCUUCUCUUCCGCUACCCUGGAUAGGGUUGGAUGUGGAUUUGCUAUUUGGUGUCAGAUAUUCUCCGCAAUAUAAAAAUUUUGGAUUGUGCAGAGGCAGAACAAGAAGGCAACCGCUUUAUCAGCUUUCAAGAAAGCAAGCAAGAAGUUAUCAAAAAUUAUGCCUGGUAACCUAAAAGAAUAGUAUCUAUACACAUAAAAUAUAUAUUUAUGAAUGGUUCGGCGACGGCAUGCAGAGACAAAUUGACUACUGCGUAUCGACAUUUUUAUCAAGCUGGGGAAACAGAGAUAACGAGUUUGGACUCAUCCACUAACCAACGUAGCAUCUUUUUAUAUACCAAUUUGAGAUCUGUGUUUGCAAUAUUGAUACCUACUGCGUGAGUUGAAAAUUAAUGGGGCGGCGGGUGGGGCUUCACAUACCUUUUGAUUUUCGACUGUAGGAUUGCCUGCUUGGUCAAGAUAAAACAUAUGAAUUGGACCCUGAAACAGUACCAAGGGUCGAGCCAUGGUAGUCCAAGCUGCUCGACAAGGUGUCAUACAAGAUAUUCAUCCAUUCGCGUACAAAAACCAGGUGUUAUUGCCAUCAGGAGAACAAUGAGAGGAGACCGAGGCUAGAACUGUUGACAAAGAUUUAAAAGUUGCUGAUACUGGAUAUUGUGCAGUCGGAGAUACGAAAGAUAACGUAUGUGUUUGAACGUAGAUCACCCAAGUCUUUACAGAGGUAAAAGGUCAAUGAUUGGUUGUAAUAAUUUGUGAAAACAUAUUUGGGGGGGUUGGGGCAAUCAAUAUGACAAUUUAAGCUUCAGGAUUGCUGUCGAAUUAGGGUUAUUGAUCCUGGCAGCAGAGUUGCGAGAAUAUCGGUGGCGAGAGGGUUCGUAAGGUGUAAUGAGGUAACAGAGGAAUGAAUAUGGCUGUUUAGAGCGGAAUAUUACUAUCAUUAUCUGUGCAAAUAUUUGGGGCGGGGAUGGGGAAAGUCAACAUUCUCAUUUUGAGCUACAGGAAUACCGACCGAUGCGAUAGCGACGCAUUGCGAGAUACGGCGCAUGGAUCGCUGGGCUUGACGUACCAGUUGUAUGGCGCAUUCCCCUGAACGAUUGACGAGGUACCGUGAUCAAUACUAAAUAAUUCUGAACAGAAGCAUAAGAGUAAAAUACCGGUUGAUCGCCGUCGGGUGCACACGGUAAUCUAAAGAUAUUUCGCUGCAUUCUAUCUCAUUCAACAAUGUAAGGUGAUAGACGUAAAUUCUUCGCAAUAAGGUACAUUAUACGCAACAGAUGCCUCUUGGCGGAAAUUUAGGUGUACAACAGAGUAUGCAAACUCGUGGAGAUGUCAAUCUCGGAAGUUGGGAGCAGCAAUGUUUGAUUUCUUUUCUAGAAACUAAAGGGAAAGCAGAUAGCGCCUCACCUGUCUUUUAACCAGCAUGACGUGUUAAUGCUUUUCGACAUGGCACGAGUCCCUGUGACAUACAAACAGUGCUCAAUGCAAAAUAGUACAGAUGUUUUCUUCCUUAGAAGCUCUGGUGAAACAGUGCGGUGGAGUUGGUUCAGUUCUGUGUAAAGUUGCAUGUGAUUACGUGGGCAAGUCUUUCAAGCGAUGUGUAAAUAUUAAAUAUUGCUGUGCGGCUAUGAUUUUGCUAGGUAUUGAAGGCACAAAAAAUUAUAUGUAAUCUUCUUUACUGGACUAGCUGAGGACUGUGGCAUUGUACUUUGUAUAUAAAUAUGGCAUAGCUCGGCAAAAUUAAUCAGGUACGCAAGAAUCAUCCUCGUGUUCCUGGCACAAGUAAAUUAGUUGUAUCUACAUAUUGUGGCAACCAAUUUGCAAUACUCUGUACAGCCUAUGGACAUUAAGUAUGAUCGGAUGUGAAGUGGCAUAGCAUAAUUAGGCUGUUAUCGGUGAGUGAUAUGGAAUGCAAUUAUUAUAAUUUACUGUCCGGCUUUAUUGCUGUUAAUUGUUCUUCAGAAAUAGCGAUGCGCGUAGACGUACGUAGAUGCAUACAUACACACCUAUAUAGACACAUACGUACGUGCAUACAAAGUUACAUUGAUAUACCCACAGACGUAUGUGCAUAUGAUUGUGCUUAAUAACUAUAGUUCUGCCUCUGGUUAUAUACAAUUUCACAAUAAUUGUGUAGCAUCGAUUGUAAGGAACUCACUCUUAGGAAUUGAUCUUUUGUAGUGCUGUGUAUCUUUGUAUUAUUUGAAAACGAUGUGAAUAAAUCGCUACUAUGCGCCGGUCGGCAGGGAGGGGAGGGGGGAACUUGGGAGGCUAAUAUCUUUAUCUGUAGGUUGAAGAACUUUCAGAAGGAAAAACGUGUGCUACACUUUCAAGGAACAAAAUAAGAUCUUACACGUCGCGUUUGUUGAAGAUUUCAAACUGCACAAUCAUUUACCUAUUGACGAAAAUCGACAUAUGAUGCACUUCUCAUCGAUUGACGUCUGUGUAAACACAAGGUGAUACCGUCACUGAGGUAUUUUAAAUGAUGUAAAAUAUGAGACGCUUUGAUCCAGACUACAGCAAGGAAAUAUGGAUACGGUAUAUCCCUGGAAGUAUUUCAAAUUUAUUCACAUGAACAAUUGAAUCAAAGGAUGAAAAUUGACAUGACUAAAUAAUUGUUUACUCUCCAGAUAAAGCAUUAAGCUGUACGGUAACGGUUAACUGCAACAUUACAUCUUUCCCAAUAGUUAUAAAUUGAUAGACAAGCGAUAGAUCCCAUAAAGAUGCUCAGGAUUUGCGACCAUGCUGGACAAGAUAAAUAGUACCAUACAUGCAUGGUUAAUAGAUAUUUAUGUACCUUUAGUUAUUGCACUGUUGGUGAUUCGCUUGAGGAUACUUCGGAGUAGAAAAUGCCUUCAACUAACGGCCCUUAGAUUGAUGUGUGGGUGACGAGAGAUUGGGAUGAUUUUAAAUAAUGAAGAAGCUGCAAUGUAAAAGACUGAACAAUUGGGGUUGACCUGUAUACCACAAGGAUAGUCAAUUGAAAAUAUUCUGGAAUGGUCAGGUACAAAUUAUACAUUUUAUCAAAAUGGGAAA